UCAGGACAGGUUUUGUUCUGUGAGGAUGCCCUCAGCUGAGGUGUUGGAUGAGGAGGGAACUGUCAAUUGCCAAGAUUAUGUCAGAAAUCACUUCCAGAAGUUUGGUUCAGAGAUUAUAGUCACUGGAAGCUAUUUUAUUAUGUUGGUAAUGAAUAUAAGAAGAGACAGGGAAAUCUUUUCUAGGGAGUUAAGCGUGUUUCAAUAAGAAAACUGCAUGUUCUUAGAAAUAAAUGAAAUUAAACAACCCUAC
rnacentral:lncRNA from 1 species